rnacentral:rRNA from 1 species
GAUGAACGCUGGCGGCGUGCCUAAUACAUGCAAGUCGAGCGAACAGACGAGGAGCUUGCUCCUUCGACGUUAGCGGCGGACGGGUGAGUAACACGUAGGUAACCUACCUAUAAGACUGGGAUAACUUCGGGAAACCGGAGCUAAUACCGGAUAAUAUUUCGAACCGCAUGGUUCGAUAGUGAAAGAUGGCUUUGCUAUCACUUAUAGAUGGACCUGCGCCGUAUUAGCUAGUUGGUAAGGUAACGGCUUACCAAGGCAACGAUACGUAGCCGACCUGAGAGGGUGAUCGGCCACACUGGAACUGAGACACGGUCCAGACUCCUACGGGAGGCAGCAGUAGGGAAUCUUCCGCAAUGGGCGAAAGCCUGACGGAGCAACGCCGCGUGAGUGAUGAAGGUCUUCGGAUCGUAAAACUCUGUUAUUAGGGAAGAACAAACGUGUAAGUAACUGUGCACGUCCUGACGGUACCUAAUCAGAAAGCCACGGCUAACUACGUG